UACAGAGGUCUCAAGCGUUGUUCGGAUUCAUUGGGCGUAAAGGGUGCGUAGGCGGCGCGGUAAGUCGGGUGUGAAAUCUCGGAGCUUAACUCCGAAACUGCAAUUCGAUACUGCCGUGCUUGAGGACUGGAGAGGAGACUGGAAUUUACGGUGUAGCGGUGAAAUGCGUAGGAUAAUCGAGGAGGAACACCAAUGGCAAGGCAGCUCGCUGGGACGGUAAGCUGACGCUGGAGGUGCGGAAAGCGUGGGGAGCGA
rnacentral:rRNA from 1 species